AGCUUCAGUAGCGUAUAUUAAAGUUGUUGCAGUUAAAAAGCUCGUAGUCGCAUUUCUGGCAAGAGGAUCCGGUCCGACCUUUUGGUGGGUUCUUGGGUCUCUUUCGCCAUCCUUGAGUGGUCCGUUCUGGCAUUAGGUUGUCGGAGCGUCAGCCGCUCAUCGUUUACUGUGAGAAAAUUAGAGUGUUCAAAGCAGGCUUAUGCCGUUGAAUAUAUUAGCAUGGAAUAAUAAGAUAGGACCUCGGUACUAUUUUGUUGGUUUGCGCACCAAGGUAAUGAUGAACAGGGACAGUUGGGAGUAUUUGUAUUUCGUUGUCAGAGGUGAAAUUCUUAGAUUUACGAAAGACAAACUACUGCGAAAGCAUUUACCAAGGAUGUUUUCA
rnacentral:rRNA from 1 species